AUGAGAAUGGGACAGCUGGAUAGGGGAAACGGCUCAAGUCGCAAAAAAAGGAAUAUAACGCUGCAGAAAAUGGAAUGACACAAUUUCAUGUGUACAACAUCUAAAGACCUGGAUCACAACACUGAGUGCUUUGACAUUUCUAAAAGGAUGUAUUUGGGUGUUUUUGGAGCCUUUGUUCAUGUUUUUUCAGGGCCCCCAUACUACACAACGAGGGUGAGGAAGUGAUUUACGGUUUGGGAUUAAAUCCUUAUACCCGUGAUGUCCAGCUACCCAACAACCUUCCCACUCGACCCCAUCCACUCCUCCAGAUGAUCUCUGGAGACCUCCCAUUCUUCACUUCCUUCCUCCCUGACCAUUGGCUCAAGACGGCCAGAGUCGCUUCCCUCCUCAAGAAACCAACACUCGACCCCUCUGACUACAGACCAGUAUCCCUUCUUUCUAUGCUUUCCAAAACACUUGAGCAUGCUGUCUAUGACCAACUUUCUUGUUAUCUCUCUCAGAACGACAUUCUUGACCCUAACCAGUCAAGUUUUAAGACGGCUCACUAAACUGAGACCACUCUCCUCUGUGUUACGGAGGCUCUCUUCUCUGCAAAAGCUGACUCUCUCUCCUCUAUUCUCAUCCUCCUAGAUCUACCCGCAGACAUCAACACUGAACCAUCACAUCCUCUCCACCAUCUCAAGGAUAGACAUCUCAGACUCUGUACACUCCUGGAUUGCAUCCUACCUGGCAGGUCGCUCCUACCAGAAUGACACCUCACAAUAUGGAAGCAGCAGAAGAUUCAACGCUCUUCCAGACGGUUAACGAACAAGGUUACAGUACGUUCUCUAGUGCCUCGACACCGCCAGUGAGGUUCUCUAUACCCCUAUCAGAGGGCCUCCUACCAUGGGUUGUUACAGUGAGCCAGCCCACCACACUACCCAUUCUUCCACCCAGGUCGGGGAUGCCCGACUGUCCCUUCCAGAGAAAUAUGACGGUACUCCAUCGAAAUUCUGUGGCUUUCUACUCCAGUUCUCCCUCUAUUUCGCCUAUCAGACGAGAGCUCCCACCACCGAGAGGUCCAAGGUUGCCAUGGUAAUAUCCCUGCUGGCCAGACGGGCGUUGAAGUGGGCUACGGCCGUCUGGGAGAGAGAAAGAGCUGGGUUCCUAUGAGAGGUUCAUGGCUCUGUUCAGGGCAGUCUUCGACCAUCCUCCAGAGGGCAGAGAGGGAGGUGAGCGACUUUUCCAGCACCGGCAGAGGGCCCAGACUGUUGCGGAGUACGCCCUCACCUUUCAGACUGUGGCAGCCUCCAGCGGAUGGAAUGAGCCGCCACUCCACCCUCUAUUCCGCAGUGGACUGCGCAAGGAGGUACUGACGGAGUUGGCAUGUCGGGAUGACAACAUAUCCUUGGACACUCUCAUCUCGAUGGCCAUUAGUCUGGAUAACCUUCUUCGGGAGCACCGGUGUACACAUCGCCACUCUCCUCCCUCCUAUGGCUGUCCUGGGGCAGAGCCUGAACCCAUGGAGGUAGGGGCCACACACCUCUCCGUGGCAGAGCGGCGUCGCCAGAGACAGCUGGGGCUCUGUUCCUAUUGCAGCCAGGAGGGGCACCAGCUUCAGCGGUGUCCGCUGCGCCCUAACCCAGGCAGCCCCUUGAUUGGGUUUGUUCUUUUGUGUCUGUUCAGUAUUAAACUCACCUUCUGCACCUGC